rnacentral:rRNA from 1 species
UACGAAGGGGGCUAGCGUUGCUCGGAAUCACUGGGCGUAAAGCGCACGUAGGCGGAUUGCUAAGUCAGGGGUGAAAUCCUGGAGCUCAACUCCAGAACUGCCUUUGAUACUGAGGAUCUUGAGUUCGGGAGAGGUAAGUGGAACUGCGAGUGUAGAGGUGAAAUUCGUAGAUAUUCGGAAGAACACCAGUGGCGAAGGCGGCUCACUGGACCGGUAUUGACGCUGAGGUGCGAAAGCGUGGGGAGCAAACAGG